rnacentral:rRNA from 1 species
AUUGAACGCUGGCGGCAGGCCUAACACAUGCAAGUCGAGCGGCAGCGGAAAGUAGCUUGCUACUUUGCCGGCGAGCGGCGGACGGGUGAGUAAUGUCUGGGAAACUGCCCGAUGGAGGGGGAUAACUACUGGAAACGGUAGCUAAUACCGCAUAACGUCGCAAGACCAAAGAGGGGGACCUUCGGGCCUCUUGCCAUCGGAUGUGCCCAGAUGGGAUUAGCUCGUAGGUGGGGUAACGGCUCACCUAGGCGACGAUCCCUAGCUGGUCUGGGAGGAUGACGAGCCACACUGGACCUGAGAGACGGUCCAGAGUCCUACGGGAGGCAGCGGUGGGGAAUAUUGCACAAUGGGCGCAAGCCUGAUGCAGCCAUGCCGCGUGUAUGAAGAAGGCCUUCGGGUUGUAAAGUACUUUCAGCGGGGAGGAAGGUGUUGAGGUUAAUAACCUCAGCAAUUGACGUUACCCGCAGAAGAAGCACCGGCUAACUCCGUGCCAGCCGCCGCAGUAA